rnacentral:rRNA from 1 species
CCUUGAAAUACCACCCUUUAAUGUUUGAUGUUCUAACGUGGACCCGUAAUCCGGGUUGCGGACAGUGUCUGGUGGGUAGUUUGACUGGGGCGGUCUCCUCCUAAAGAGUAACGGAGGAGCACGAAGGUUGGCUAAUCCUGGUCGGACAUCAGGAGGUUAGUGCAAUGGCAUAAGCCAGCUUGACUGCGAGCGUGACGGCGCGAGCAGGUGCGAAAGCAGGUCAUAGUGAUCCGGUGGUUCUGAAUGGAAGGGCCAUCGCUCAACGGAUAAAAGGUACUCCGGGGAUAACAGGCUGAUACCGCCCAAGAGUUCAUAUCGACGGCGGUGUUUGGCACCUCGAUGUCGGCUCAUCACAUCCUGGGGCUGAAGUAGGUCCCAAGGGUAUGGCUGUUCGCCAUUUAAAGUGGUACGCGAGCUGGGUUUAGAACGUCGUGAGACAGUUCGGUCCCUAUCUGCCGUGGGCGCUGGAGAACUGAGGGGGGCUGCUCCUAGUACGAGAGGACCGGAGUGGACGCAUCACUGGUGUUCGGGUUGUCAUGCCAAUGGCACUGCCCGGUAGCUAAAUGCGGAAGAGAUAAGUGCUGAAAGCAUCUAAGCACGAAACUUGCCCCGAGAUGAGUUCUCCCUGAGACUUUAGGUCUCCUGAAGGAACGUUGAAGACGACGACGUUGAUAGGCCGGGUGUGUAAGCGCAGCGAUGCGUUGAGCUAACCGGUACUAAUGAACCGUGAGGCUUAACCUUACA